rnacentral:sRNA from 1 species
CUCUAGCCCUGAUAGCAGCGGUAUCCUUUUGUGGUGGGGUUCACCACAAAAGAUACAAGCGGAUAGCAGGAAACAGC